rnacentral:rRNA from 1 species
UUGUGUCUUCGAGUCGUUGAUUUCACACUGCCGAGAAAAGCCUCUAGAUAGAAAAUAGGUGCCCGUACCGCAAACCGACACAGGUAGUCAAGAUGAGAAUUCUAAGGUGAGCGAGCGAACUCUCGUUAAGGAACUCGGCAAAAUGACCCCGUAACUUCGGGAGAAGGGGUGCUCUUUAGGGUUAACGCCCAGAAGAGCCGCAGUGAAUAGGCCCAAGCGACUGUUUAUCAAAAACACAGGUCUCUGCUAAACCGUAAGGUGAUGUAUAGGGGCUGACGCCUGCCCGGUGCUGGAAGGUUAAGAGGAGUGGUUAGCUUCUGCGAAGCUACGAAUCGAAGCCCCAGUAAACGGCGGCCGUAACUAUAACGGUCCUAAGGUAGCGAAAUUCCUUGUCGGGUAAGUUCCGACCCGCACGAAAGGCGUAACGAUUUGGGCACUGUCUCAACGAGAGACUCGGUGAAAUCAUAGUACCUGUGAAGAUGCAGGUUACCCGCGACAGGACGGAAAGACCCCGUGGAGCUUUACUGUAGCCUGAUAUUGAAAUUCGGCACAGCUUGUACAGGAUAGGUAGGAGCCUUUGAAACGUGAGCGCUAGCUUACGUGGAGGCGCUGGUGG